rnacentral:rRNA from 1 species
UACAGAGGGUGCGAGCGUUGUCCGGAAUCACUGGGCGUAAAGGGCGCGUAGGUGGCCUGAUAAGUAGGGGGUGAAAUCUCGAGGCUCAACUUCGAGGCUGCCUCCUAAACUGUCAGGCUUGAGCAGAGUAGAGGCAGGUGGAAUUCCCGGUGUAGCGGUGGAAUGCGUAGAGAUCGGGAAGAACUCGGUGGCGAAGGCGGCCUCUGGGCUCUUGCCUGACACUGAGGCGCGACAGCCGUGGGGGAGCAAACAGG